GCCCGUCACACCAUGGGAGUGGGUUGCAAAAGAAGUAGGUAGCUUAACCUUCGGGAGGGCGCUUACCACUUUGUGAUUCAUGACUGGGGUGAAGUCGUAACAAGGUAACCGUAGGGGAACCUGCGGUUGGAUCACCUCCUUA
rnacentral:rRNA from 1 species